AUGAAAACUUGCCGCUGAGUGAAAAGGAACCACAGCCCUCAUUUUCCAGGCACAAGGUGGGGUGACUAGGACACUAGAAAACAUGCUUGUGUAAAGCUAAUGUGGCUGCCUGACUCUGGCCUCCUCUGCUGACCCAGGCCCCCUCCUCAAAGCAAGAAGAGAAAUUUAUCUAUUGCAACACCCUGGGUAUCUAGCAAGCACCUUGGCCACAGUGUGUGCUCUAUAAAUGCUAAAGUAAAUGGAGUAGCAGAGUUCACUUAACCUCUUUUGAAAAAUUAAGAUGCUACAAUGGAGGGAAAUGGCUCCAUCUUUUCUCUCCAUAUACAAGUUCAGGUCCUUUAUAAAUUCAGGUGGAGGAGGACAGAAGUGUAGUAGAGGAAGGGGAGCAUUCCUGCUUCCCCAGUGGAAAAAGAAGAGAGUGGAGGUUUUUGGAGAGGGACUCUCUCCCAGCUAUAACCAGUAACAGGAGCCCCUAGGCAAGGAGCCAGGGUAGGUGGGCCUUAAUGAGCCAACUGGCUUUGCCCCAAAGGUCAUGGGCAGCAUCCCGACCAAGGAGAGAAAGUCAUACUCUGUUAAUGCCUGUGCUGCUCUUCAGGCCCUUUUAUCAGAUUCACUGCAGAGGAGAUUCAUCAAGAUGAAGCUUAGUUCCCAAUAGACUAAUGAAAAGAGGGCAACAGACACGAGAAGAGCUGAAAGGCAGACGGUGUGUAUUAAUCACAGGCAAGAGAAACAUGUCAGCUCUAAUGUCUGUUUGCUUUUAUCUUGAAACAAAAAUGCAUCUCGGCUGCCAAGACCUUUUUUUCCUGAGCAUUUCAGAACAGAAAUGGG
rnacentral:lncRNA from 1 species